rnacentral:tmRNA from 1 species
GGGGGUGUUCUGGCUUUUGACGGGUUGGCCAAUAGAUGUGUAAGCACGUAGAGCUUGAAGGUAUGCUCUUAAAUCUCACUUUCAAAAUCGUAAACGGCGAGUCUAACUUUGCCAUGGCUGCCUAGUCUUAGAGACUAUAGCAAUUGCCAUCCGAUUGCCUGAGCUCUGUCUGAGCAGUGAGGGAUAACAGUCGGUCGAACAAGCUCAGAUAAUUUUAGCCCAUUUCUACCAAGCUAAAAUUUAUUGUGUAGAAUAAGGAUAAAUUGGGUUUUUGAUGCACCUGGCUUUUCUCGAAAACCAAGCAGCAAUAAACGUGUAGAAAACGCAACUCUAUUCCGAUUCGGACCCGGGUUCGACUCCCGGCAUCUCCACUA